rnacentral:rRNA from 1 species
GAUUAACGCUGGCGGCGUGCAUAACACAUGCAAGUCGAACGAUGAAACUUAAAUGAUUUCUUCGGAAUGAACUUAAGUGGAUUAGUGGCGGACGGGUGAGUAACGCGUGAGUAACCUGCCUUACACAAGGGGAUAGCCGUUGGAAACGACGAAUAAUACCCUAUGAAACUAUCACUUCGCAUGAAGCGAUAGUCAAAGUGUUAGCGGUGUAAGAUGGACUUGCGUCUGAUUAGCUAGUUGGUGAGAAAAAAGCCCACCAAGGCAACGAUCAGUAGCCGGCUUGAGAGAGCGUACGGCCACAUUGGGACUGAGACACGGCCCAGACUCCUACGGGAGGCAGCAGUGGGGAAUUUUGCACAAUGGGGGAAACCCUGAUGCAGCGACGCCGCGUGAUUUAGAAGGCCUUCGGGUUGUAAAAAUCUUUUGUAUAGGAAGAAAAUGACAGUACUAUACGAAUAAGGUCCGGCUAAUUACGUG